rnacentral:lncRNA from 1 species
UCUAUUCUGCUUGUAUUUUCUUCCCAUGUUCUCCUUCAUAUAGCCUAAGAUAGCUGACCCUACACUUACGUUUCAGGUACCAUCAUGAAGAUGUGCUAGGAGACAGGAAUGGGAGAUACUCUCCUGUUUUUAAAGAUACUAUUUACCACUAAAAUGGAAGCAGAGUUACUUGGAGAAUGACUGACUGACUCUAUGUCAGAAGCAGGAGAUGUACAAGAUCAACCUGCAACAUUUGUCAUGCCAAAACCCAAGAAAGCUACCAAUGAAGACUUUCAGUAAUGUCAGAAGGAACAAGAUACUAAUCUCAAGAUGAUUGCCCCAAUGGCAAAACAUGGGACUAUUUUAGCAUCAGUUUUAAUAAAAGGAAG